UAGUGGCGAACGGGUGAGUAACACGUGGGCAAUCUGCCCUUCACUCUGGGACAAGCCCUGGAAACGGGGUCUAAUACCGGAUAACACCUGCCCGGGCAUCUGGGUGGGUUAAAAGCUCCGGCGGUGAAGGAUGAGCCCGCGGCCUAUCAGCUUGUUGGUGAGGUAGUGGCUCACCAAGGCGACGACGGGUAGCCGGCCUGAGAGGGCGACCGGCCACACUGGGACUGAGACACGGCCCAGACUCCUACGGGAGGCAGCAGUGGGGAAUAUUGCACAAUGGGCGAAAGCCUGAUGCAGCGACGCCGCGUGAGGGAUGACGGCCUUCGGGUUGUAAACCUCUUUCAGCAGGGAAGAAGCGAAAGUGACGGUACCUGCAGAAGAAGCGCCGGCUAACUACGUGCCAGCAGCCGCGGUAAUACGUAGGGCGCAAGCGUUGUCCGGAAUUAUUGGGCGUAAAGAGCUCGUAGGCGGCUUGUCACGUCGGGUGUGAAAGCCCGGGGCUUAACCCCGGGUCUGCAUUCGAUACGGGCUAGCUAGAGUGUGGUAGGGGAGAUCGGAAUUCCUGGUGUAGCGGUGAAAUGCGCAGAUAUCAGGAGGAACACCGGUGGCGAAGGCGGAUCUCUGGGCCAUUAC
rnacentral:rRNA from 1 species